GAAAAGAAAGCGCUGGAAAUAAAAAAAUUGCAGAAAUACAAGCCAAAUCCCCUUACUCAAACCCGUGAACUUGUCGCUUUCUUCCUCAAGCAUCUGAACACAAUUUCCUUGGCAGCAUGUGUCCGUACGCUGAUGAAAUUAUUUACAGCGAACAAAAUCUGGAGAAAGGCACACUACGGAAGGGAUUCGAUCCUGCGUUGCUGGACCUAAUCGUUUCCCUUUAUCGCCGAAAGCAAAAAGAAUCGCGAUUUGCAAGACAGAAGCUCCAUGACUACAGGGUUACAGAAGCUCCAGUACUGCAGGGUUAGGGUUUUGUGAAUGGUACAUACAGAUUGGAUGCCUUGGGCAAUGAUAAAAAAAAAUGUUCCGAUUUGGAGUUGUACAGGGUUAGGGUCCCACUGUCCGGCUGCAGCGCUUUCGUUUGGCUUAUUUAGGUACUGGAGCGCUCGUGCGUAUCUUCGUUUGGCUUGUUUAGUUACAACAUAGAUACUGGGGUUGAAAAAGCAGAUGAAUUAUUGAAGUUGAAUGGAAACAGUAGUCUACAUAGGAUCAAUAAUUCUCAUCUUUUUGUCAACCUCAUCUCAGUUAGUAGAUAUAGUAGGAGCCAAAAAAAAAAUGGUAAUGGAAGGUCCAUUAAUAAAUAUCACAUAUACGAACAGUGAAUAGUUUUUUAGCUUUUUUAAUCAUAAUUAGCUUACUGAGAUAUUUGUGCACCACUACUGGAUCAUUUGUGCUUAACUAUUGGGUCAUUUGUCCACUACUACGGGCUAUUUUGAGUUAUCUACUAUUGGUGCAAAGGUGAUUAUGUAUUGGACCAUACUUUGAAAUUUGUACUUUUUGAUCUUUGUGCACAUAACGAAUUCCACAGCGUGCAUC